GAUUUAUACGAGGAUGAUAAACAAGUUAUAGAAAAUAUAAAAAGAAUUGGACCUUGUGCAACUAUAAAUUCUGUUGCAUGCUGCUUACUGGAUAAAGUCAAUUCUCAAACAUUUCAUGCAGCAUUGCAGUGUUUAUGUGCCACUGCUGCUUCUUAUCAAGAAGAACUUGCUUUAGCAUUUGAAAUUACAAGAAUUGCAUUGCCAAAAGCUCACAGAGUAUCAUUAUCUAAUGUAAUAUCUGAUUUUUUCCGAUAUUUGCCAGAAUUGGAGGAAAUCCUGCAGUAAUAAUCAAGCUUUCCUUUUUUGAAAAUUUCAAGAUAUAUUUUCUUAAAAUAUACUGCUUAUUCUUCAUAAAAUAUACUGCUGAUUGUUACUAGAGUGUGUAAAAAAAGUGCAGAUCUUGUUAUUAUUAUAUUUUGUGAACAACAUGAAUAUGUUUUUUAAAUACUUUUAAAGCUGCAUGGUCAUGGUUAUAUCUAAAUUUGAAAUAGCAUUAUACUGAAAACUGCAUAAAUGCUAAUGCAUAAUCUUCCACAAUUCUGAAAACUGAAUGAAUGUAUUCCGGAAAUUAAUACUUUUGUGAGUUAUCUUAUAUUUUUCCCUUAAUAAUAUUGAUAUCUCAAUCUAAUUACUGCAAUAUCUCAAUAUUAACUCUUAUGUUUAUAAAUGUUUAGCUUGUUCUUUUUUUUUUUUUUUUUUUUUUUUAAUAUUGAUUUUUGGUUUUGAAAAUUAUUUAGAUAAAUUUUAUCUUAAAUUUGUAUAAUAUAGGAAUUUCUGUAUAUCUGCCUCACACUAAUGAUAAUGAUAUCGUUUUCAGUGUAGUUGUCAUAGUUUUUCUUCUAAUCUAUAUUAUGAAUGAAUUUAAAUCUUUAACAAAAAAGGUAUUUUAGUGUUUGUCUCAUUUCUGUGUCACAAAAUUUUUCUCAGCAAAAUUAAUUGCUUCAUUAGAAUGACAGUUCCAUCAGUAAAUCAGUAUAAUAUUUCCUCUGAAUAUUUGAAAGACUCAAAAUUCUUUGAAAUUUUUUAAAAAUUAAAUCUAAAAAAUAAAUCACGGACAAUAAAAACCCUUGCUAAAUACAGACUUGUGAAAUGCAAUUUUGUGUAUAUGUGUUUUCUUGUCUCUAUUUAAUUUGUCUAAUGCAAGAAUUUACAACAGGGUUUACUUUCUCAACAAGAAGUCUAUAAGUAUUGGUGCUGCUUGUAAGUCUGCUCAAAAGCAAUAAUUCCUUUUUGUAACUUUCUUUCACCCAUUUCUAUAAGCAAUUCAACAUAAUACACUGCAUAAAAAUGAUUAAGCUUAAAUGGGAACAAGUGAAUUCAUCAACAUUAAAUGCUUAUUGUCAUUAGUUCUGUCCAGAAGUUGUCAACUGUUUUAACCCUUUCAGGAUGGGCAUCCCAUAUAUGCAUUCCCUAAGAACGUCUCUCUUACAGCCGGGCAUCCCAUCCACCCAUCACUAGAGAUUGCAUUCAGAGGACGGGUGAUGCGUAUACUCAUUUUAAGCUGGAACAUUUUUCUAAAGACCAUUAGUGGCAUCCUAUGUCCAUUACUUUUGAAAUGAACACAGUUUUAGGUUCCUGAGAGUUUGAUAUAUUCUGCCUGAUUUUGGUAUUUUGUUCAUCAACUGUUGAAAGGGUGGAGGGGAAAGCGUAAACAGACGUGGGCUCUUUAAAUCAGGAUGUACUAAUAUAAACAUUUGCAUGUCUGAUUUAUAUCCAAUUCCUUUUUUUCCUCUCUUCUAUGUACGGUGUUUUAGGUUUACUAUGCGGAGUUCUGUUACGUUUUGUAUUGCCUUCAGGUAUAUUUCUGUUUCUUCUCUUUAUUUUGGAAAGCCUCACCUGCAGUCUAUUAUGGCGGGAAGGCGCUAUUUAUCAGAGGAAUAAUACCCUCGUAUGGUUAAUAAACCAUUUACUAAUGCAGAUGAGAGUGAUGAUUCAUUUUCUAAAAAGUUAGAAAGUGAUACUUCUCUGUGCUACAAGAUUUACCACAUUGUCUUCAUUUUAAACUUUGUUACUUACUGUAAAUAGUCUUCAUUAUGUUGUUUUAUUAAUUUUAAACUUUAUCAAUGGGUUUUUAUCAAUUAAAACUUUGGACUAAUUUGAAUAGCGCUUCUGAAAGUUAUU